UCUGGUUGAUCCUGCCAGAGGUUACUGCUAUCGAGGUUCGACUAAGCCAUGCGAGUCGAAUGUAGCAAUACAUGGCGAACUGAUCAGUAACACGUGGACAACCUGCCCUUAGGACGGGGAUAAACCCGGGAAACUGGGUAUAAUACCCGAUAGGUCUCGAUUGCUGGAAUGCAUCGAGAUUUAAAGCUCCGGCGCCUAAGGAUGGGUCUGCGGCCUAUCAGGUAGUAGUGGGUGUAGCGUACCUACUAGCCUACGACGGGUACGGGUUGUGAGAGCAAGAGCCCGGAGAUGGAUUCUGAGACACGAAUCCAGGCCCUACGGGGUGCAGCAGGCGCGAAAACUUUACAAUGCUGGCAACAGCGAUAAGGGAACCUCGAGUGCCAGGUUACAAAUCUGGCUGUCGAGAUGCCUAAAAAGCAUUUCAUAGCAAGGGCCGGGCAAGACCGGUGCCAGCCGCCGCGGUAACACCGGCGGCUCGAGUGGUAACCGUUAUUAUUGGGUCUAAAGGGUCUGUAGCCGGCCGGAUAAGUCUCUUGAGAAAUCUGGCAGCUUAACUGUCAGGCUUUCAGGAGAUACUGUCUGGCUCGAGGCCGGGAGAGGUGAGAGGUACUUCAGGGGUAGGGGUGAAAUCUUGUAAUCCUUGAAGGACCACCAGUGGCGAAGGCGUCUCACCAGAACGGACCUGACGGCAAGGGACGAAAGCUAGGGGCACGAACCGGAUUAGAUACCCGGGUAGUCCUAGCCGUAAACGAUACUCGCUAGGUGUCGGCCACGGUGCGACCGUUGUCGGUGCCGUAGGGAAGCCGUGAAGCGAGCCACCUGGGAAGUACGGCCGCAAGGCUGAAACUUAAAGGAAUUGGCGGGGGAGCACCACAACGGGUGGAGCUUGCGGUUUAAUUGGAUUCAACGCCGGAA
rnacentral:rRNA from 1 species